UGGUUUAUGACCCGGCAGUGGUUAGAGCGUAGGUCUCGUAACCGAAAGGUUGCGGGAUCGAAACCCGCUAGAGGCUAA
rnacentral:tRNA from 1 species